ACGACAACUCCCAUCAUCCCUAGCCAGAAUGUGUUGUGGCUGUGAAUGAUGGGAGUUGUAGUUCAGCAGCAGCUGGAGAGAGCCGGGGUUGCUCGCCUCUGAGGUAUAUGGCCGUGUCGUCUGUGUGCCUGGCUCUCCUCACACCUGUAUCUGUAUUGCAACAAUUAGCCAUGGAGAGGUCAUAGGUUUAGAAAAGAGGAAAGCUGAGGUCACCCCAGAAAAAAAAAUUGGACUUAAUUUAGGGGAAAGGUUUCACUUCACCUGUGACUUUAUAACAUCUGCCAAAAACUAUCUGGAGGGGUGAAUGGUUUGGGGAGUUCUUAUCCUCCAUAAAUCUGUCUGGGCAUUCCACAGUCUUGGGGAGCAGGCCCUUGCCCUUAUGAGAUAAGGUUGCCGGAUGACUAUCCGAAGAAGGAGCUUAUAGGUUUAAGAUGCUGGUUCCAGGGCUUCUGGCUGCAGAGAUGUACAUGGACCCAACUCCACUCCAAGCACUGUGAAGGAGUGAUAAAGCAAGGAGGACCAACAGAGGAGAUGACAGUGUCUGCCUCAGCCCCUUCAGCCUGCCUCCUUACUACUCAAUGGUAGCAGAGACAUGAAGAAAAAUGAGUAGCAGCAAUGUUUUCCCUCCUGGCAGUCUUGGAACCUGCUGCUUUUAUGUGUGGCCCCUUUCUCUGGCCAGCAAUUCUUGAAACCUUAUUUCUUGUAGACACUGGAAGUUUGCCUACACCAAUUGCCCAAUGCAAGUUUCCUCAGAAAUUAGUUCAACAGCAGCAUGUUUCCUCAGAAGUUAGUUCAACAACAGCUACUCCCAAGUACAUGUAGGUUUGCAGAUCAAGUCUGCUAGAUGAAGAGGAAGAAACAAAGCUGAGGCAAGAAUGCAUUCACAACUUGAUAUGCAUUACAGAAAUAUUCUUGUCUUCAACUAUGACCGAAGUACAGCCAAAUGGUGUACUUCAUAUAGCUACAACUUUUAUAAUUAAAUUGCCUAUUUUCAA